UUUUGUAAGUCUUUUAAAACCCUUUAAAAUCCCUUGUAAAUCUUUUUAAGCCCUUUUAAAAUUUCUUGUCAACAUUUUAAAACCUUUUUAAAAUCCCUUGUAAAUCAUUUAAAACUCUUUUAAAAUUCCUUGUAAAUAUUUUAAAACCCUUUUAAAAUCUCUUAUAAAUCUUUGAAAACCCUUUUAAAAUCCCUUGUAAAUCUAUUACCCACAAAAAAAAACU
rnacentral:sRNA from 1 species